rnacentral:rRNA from 1 species
AUGCUCCUCCUGCUCGCCGCGGCCGCCCUGCUCGCCGCCGGCGCGGGCGCCGCCGUGCCGCCGUCGUGCGAGCGCAUCGAGUGCCCGGCGUACGACGUGGUGGACAGCGCCAACGGGUUCGAGAUCCGGCGGUACAAGGACGCGAUGUGGGUCUCCACCGCGCCCAUCGAGGACAUCUCGCUCGUCGACGCCACCCGCUCCGGCUUCCUCCAGCUUUUCAAGUACAUCCAGGGGAAGAACGCGUACAACGAGACGAUCGAGAUGACGGCGCCGGUGCUGACGCGGGUGGCGCCCAGCGACGGGCCCUUCUGCGUCUCCUCCUUCGUGGUCAGCUUCUACGUGCCGGCCAAGAACCAGGCGGACCCGCCGCCGGCCGAGGGCCUGCGCGUGCAGAGGUGGGCCGGGGCGAGGUACGCGGCCGUGCGCCGGUUCGGCGGCUUCGUAGCCGACGCCGACGUCGGCAAGCAGGCCGCGCUGCUCGAGGCCAGCCUGCAGGGGACCAGGUGGGCCGCGCCCGUGUCCGACGGCCGCAAGGCCGACCCGGCGUCCGAGUACACCGUGGCGCAGUACAACUCGCCGUUCGAGUUCAGCGGCAGGGUGAACGAGAUAUGGAUGCUCUUCGACACCAUGGCCGCGUCCGACAUGUAA